GCGCUCUGACCUGAGACCUCUGGGUUCUGAGCUGUGAUGUUCCUUCCAAGCUGGGAUCUCUGGGGUCUUGGUUCAGGGUCG
rfam:Canis lupus familiaris chromosome 1, whole genome shotgun sequence.